rnacentral:rRNA from 1 species
UACAGAGGGUCCCAAGCGUUGUUCGGAUUCACUGGGCGUAAAGGGUGCGUAGGUGGCCAGGUAAGUUUGGUGUGAAAGCUCGGAGCUUAACUCCGAAAAGUCAUUGAAUACUAUCUGGCUGGAGGGUCGGAGGGGAGACUGGAAUUCUCGGUGUAGCAGUGAAAUGCGUAGAUAUCGAGAGGAACACCAGUGGCGAAGGCGAGUCUCUGGACGACUCCUGACACUGAGGCACGAAAGCUAGGGGAGCGAACAGG